CUUUUCAGAUACGGACGUCCGUAUUUAUUCAAAAGGUACGUAUUUCCUUAAUUGACAUACAUUUCGAUCAUAUUUUCUCAUCUCAACCAUACAUCUUUUAGGUAUAUAUGAGUAGAUCAUCUCUACAAAAUUUUAGUCAAUUGAUACUCAUUAAGGUAGUCAAAACUGUGAAUUACACGAACGGUUCCUGUUAAACAGGUUUGGUUCGUUCAUUAUAAUCAUAUAGUUUUGAUAUCUUAACGAUUAUCAAUUUGGCUGAAAAUUUGUAGAGAUGAUCUACUAAUAUAUACCUACAAUGUGAAUGGUUAAAAUGAGAAAAUAUGAUCUAAAAGUGGGCCAAUUAAGAAAAUCCAUAUCUUUUGAAUAAAUACGGAUAUUUAGACAUGAUAUAAAAAUGGGUCAAUUAUGUGUUAUAUAUAUAUAACACAUAAACUUUCUCAGGCUAGGUAAGGACCUCCUUAACUUAACUAUGAUGCAGAUUUUCUUAAUAAACCCAUUUUUCGAUCAUACUUUUGCAUUUUAACCGUACGUUCAGUUUUUAGGUAUAUAUGAGCAUAUCAUCUUUGUAAAUUUUUAGAUAAUUUGGUGAUUAUUAAGGUAUCGAAAAUGUAUUAAAUCAAUGAAUGAUCCAAAUCUAUUUAACCUAAGCCAUUCGUGUUGAACUGAAUUCUGUUGAACCUGAAUCGUUUACGUCUACAACAAAAAAAUAUAAUUAUGAGUGCUUUAACGAUCACAAAAUUGGCUAAAAAUUUACAAAAAUUAUCUACUUAUAUAUAUGCCUAAAACUGAACGGUUAAGAUAAGAAAAUGUGAUAAAAAAGUUUGUCUAUUAAAAAUAUCCGCACCAUAAAAAUAAAUAAAAUCUUUAUUUGAAAAUGAUUGUGUGUGUACAUACUAUUAUUAAAAGAAAAUAUAGGGCUUUAUCGUAAUUAAGCUUUUGAAGGGUUUGAUUUGUGUUUGCAGUGGCUGCCCUAGAAGAAAUUGCUAAACAGAUAAGAAAAACAGACUGGACUUCAGCGUAGACCCGU
rnacentral:lncRNA from 1 species